GGUGUGUGAAUGCCGCCCAGCCGGCGCAU
rnacentral:sRNA from 1 species